CGGUAUGCCUUAGUACGGCGAGUGAGCGGCUAAGCUCAAUUUGAAAUCUGGUACCUUCGGUGCCCGAGUUGUAAUUUGGAGAGGGCAACUUUGGGGCCGUUCCUUGUCUAUGUUCCUUGGAACAGGACGUCAUAGAGGGUGAGAAUCCCGUGUGGCGAGGAGUGCGGUUCUUUGUAAAGUGCCUUCGAAGAGUCGAGUUGUUUGGGAAUGCAGCUCUAAGUGGGUGGUAAAUUCCAUCUAAAGCUAAAUAUUGGCGAGAGACCGAUAGCGAACAAGUACAGUGAUGGAAAGAUGAAAAGAACUUUGAAAAGAGAGUGAAAAAGUACGUGAAAUUGUUGAAAGGGAAGGGCAUUUGAUCAGACAUGGUGUUUUGUGCCCUCUGCUCCUUGUGGGUAGGGGAAUCUCGCAUUUCACUGGGCCAGCAUCAGUUUUGGUGGCAGGAUAAAUCCAUAGGAAUGUAGCUUGCCUCGGUAAGUAUUAUAGCCUGUGGGAAUACUGCCAGCUGGGACUGAGGACUGCGACGUAAGUCAAGGAUGCUGGCAUAAUGGUUAUAUGCCGCCCGUCUUGAAAAACCCGGAACCAAA
rnacentral:rRNA from 1 species